UGGGGAAUCUUGGACAAUGGGGGAAACCCUGAUCCAGCGACGCCGCGUGGGUGAUGAAGGCCUUCGGGUCGUAAAGCCCUGUCGGGGGGGAAGAAACUCCUGCCGGUGAACAAUCGGCGGGAUUGACGGUACCCCCUAAGGAAGCACCGGCUAACUCCGUGCCAGCAGCCGCGGUAAGACGGAGGGUGCAAGCGUUGUUCGGAAUUACUGGGCGUAAAGGGCGCGUAGGCGGUCCGCUAAGUUCGGUGUGAAAUCCCCCGGCUCACCUGGGGAAUUGCGUCGGAAACUGACGGACUAGAGUACCGGAGAGGAAGGUGGAAUUCCUGGUGUAGCGGUGAAAUGCGUAGAUAUCAGGAGGAACACCGGUGGCGAAGGCGGCCUUCUGGACGGAUACUGACGCUGAGGCGCGAAAGCGUGGGGAUCAAACAGGAUUAGAUACCCCCGUAGUCC
rnacentral:rRNA from 1 species